rnacentral:rRNA from 1 species
UACGUAGGGUGCAAGCGUUGUCCGGCAUUAUUGGGCGUAAAGAGCUCGUAGGCGGUCUGUCACGUCGGAUGUGAAAACUCGGGGCUCAACCCCGAGCCUGCAUACGAUACGGGCAGACUUGAGUUCGGCAGGGGAGACUGGAAUUCCUGGUGUAGCGGUGAAAUGCGCAGAUAUCAGGAGGAACACCGGUGGCGAAGGCGGGUCUCUGGGCCGAUACUGACGCUGAGGAGCGAAAGCGUGGGGAGCGAACAGG